GGGGAUUUAGCUCAGUGGCAUAAGCACCUGCCUUGUAAGCAGGCGGUCAUGAGUUCAACCCCUG
rnacentral:tRNA from 1 species